AGAAUACUCCGAGUUAUAGCUCGUCGUUAUUGGAGAUUGAAUGCUUCUGCACUUCUUCGACAGUAAAGCUGGGUAAUCCUCGGAACUCAAGCGCGGUCGUGGAACUUGCAAAAGCGACUCCAACGUCCAAGUCAAUAAUAUAUUUAUAUCUCGGAUUAGUGUUUUAUCUUCUAAGCCUUAAGCUCAACGCGUGUCGUUUCGGUAAGCAAGGGCAAGCUUGGUUUUGUUUUACUUUUUGGAAUUCAAAAAGGGUGUGGAGCUCGUAAUAAAUUCUUGUACAGUUAUUUUGAGAAGAUCACCACCACCCAUCACCAUGAUAAGUAAAAAUUUUUCUAAUCCAACCGUUAGUUUAAUGGGAGAUCGUGGAGUGGUGUUAUUUGUUUUUUUAUUACUGUUUUCGCUUUGGAAAGAGACAAAUUGUCUACUGGACUUUGUUUGAAGCUGAAAAGGACAUGACUUCAAAAGGUUAGUAGUUCUUUGUCUUUUUCUUUCGUUUCUUUUGGUGAUGGCAAGAGAUAAGGUGAUGGAGGUUAAAAAAGAAGACAUAUACAAUUGGGUGCAUGUUGCUAUAAAGCAUCGUGCUUCGGCUUAUAGUAUUGCUGAGUCUUUGCAUGAACUUAAUUCUACAAGGUUGGUUAAAGAUGGUUCAACUGUUGACGUGGAGCUGCUUCCCUAUAUAGCAUUGAGAGGAGAAGAGACUGGGCGUACUUCUAUUUGUAUACCCCUUGUCUGACGGUGUUACAUUUGAAGUUUCUAUUUUCAGAAUUUGAGUGCAAUGUUUUGACGUAGCUCAACUGCGCCCCUUCUCAACUGCAUCCAAUUUCAUGGGCUUUUUUACGAGCCUAUGAGUGUUUGAUGAAGUUUCUUGAGUUUCCUCCCUCACUAAACAUCUUUUUCUCACUAUUUCAAUAUAAAAGUGUGUGAAAAAGUCUCUGGGUCAACCUCAGUAGCUACCCUAGUAGUUCAUUUUUUGUUUUAUAUAAAUCUUCAUUCAACAAUUUUAAAGCUAUGUUUGUAAAGUUUCGGUCAUCAGAAACCGAAUACCCUUUUUACCUAGAUGAUGAGUUAGUUGAAAAAUUUCCUCUUUAUUAGUUUUCAGAGCCGAUGCAAAUAUUAGAAGCUAGGUGUUGUCCAUUUAUGAACUUUUGAAAUUGGAAACAGAUAAGGAGGCUUUUGGGGCCUAUAUAGGUAACUGAAUGGUUUUGAGAAUUUUGCUGCAUAGUUUAUUUUGUUUUGACAUUGUAUAUUUGUUUGUUCUGUAGGCAAAAGAGUUCCAAACUUGACUACUUCUCGGUUACAAUUGUUUUUGGUCCAGAAAAAAAAAGAGUGACAAAGAUGGUGGUGUCUCUGGGGUGAUUAAGGAAACAGGCGCUGAUGCCGCUCAAUCAAGCGCUCGGCCUAUUCCAUCGCCUAAAAGGAAAAUGCUUGAGUCUGAGAAGUCUUUAGAGAUUCUUUUCGAGGAGGAAUUGGAUGCUGGCACUGGUGGCAAGCAUGUUUUUGAAAAGCAGAAAAAGUUACAUGGCUUCAUUGAGGAGGUGAACGCACAAUCCUUGUGGAGUGAGCAGUUUCUAAUAACAGAGCUUUCUGAUAAGGUUGCCCAGUAUGCUAGUGAUGUGAGGAUGGUGAAACUAGUUAGUAAAGAAGGUAUAAUGAAGUAUAUGCAAGAUUCAUGAGUUGGAGAACGAUGUAUUAGAGAUGUUUUCUGCGGAUUUUGAUCGGGUUAUGAGCCAAGUGGCUUCUUUUGCUCCCGAGUUUGACAUCGGCAAGCUUAUGUUACAAAGAUCGUUGUUAAUGGUGAACUCGUCGAGGACAAGGUUGGCGAAGUGGAGGAUGAAAAUGCUGCUCCGGUUGAUAAAGACCUCUAGCUCCUUGAAUUUGUAUUGUUUUAUUUUGAAACUUCUGUUUGAACUUUGUUAAUGUUUGGACUAUGACCGACCUUUUGAAUAUCGGUUUUUUGUUUGUUGAAUUGAGAUCGACUUGUGACGUCGGGGUUGAAAAAUGUUAGAUGUUUAGAUGAUAUCUAUUUUGAUUAUUUCAAUGCGAUUUCCA